AGAGUUUGAUCAUGGCUCAGAACGAACGCUGGCGGCAUGCCUAACACAUGCAAGUCGGACGCUUUUGAGGUUUCGGCCUCGGGAGUGGCGGACGGGUGAGUAGCGCGUGGGAACCUGCCCCUUUGUGGGGGAUAACCGAGGGAAACUUCGGCUAAUACCGCAUGCGCCCCGGAGCAAUCCGGGGGAAAGAUUUAUCGCAGAGGGAGGGGCCCGCGUCGGAUUAGGUAGUUGGUGGGGUAACGGCCUACCAAGCCUGUGAUCCGUAGCUGGUCUGAGAGGAUGAUCAGCCACACUGGGACUGAGACACGGCCCAGACUCCUACGGGAGGCAGCAGUGGGGAAUAUUGGACAAUGGGCGCAAGCCUGAUCCAGCAAUGCCGCGUGAGUGAUGAAGGCCUUAGGGUUGUAAAGCUCUUUCGGCGGGGACGAUGAUGACGGUACCCGCAGAAGAAGCCCCGGCUAACUUCGUGCCAGCAGCCGCGGUAAUACGAAGGGGGCGAGCGUUGUUCGGAUUUACUGGGCGUAAAGGGCGCGUAGGCGGCGGACCAAGUCGAGUGUGAAAGCCCCGGGCUCAACCUGGGAGGUGCGCUCGAGACUGGUCUGCUAGAGUUCGGGAGAGGAGCGUGGAAUUCCCAGUGUAGAGGUGAAAUUCGUAGAUAUUGGGAAGAACACCGGUGGCGAAGGCGGCGCUCUGGACCGAGACUGACGCUGAGGCGCGAAAGCGUGGGGAGCAAACAGGAUUAGAUACCCUAGUAGUCC
rnacentral:rRNA from 1 species